GUGAAUCAUCAAAUCUUUGAACGCAGAUUGCGCCUUCUUCGGAAGGUAUGUCUGUUUGAGGGCACCGUUUAACAAAUAAUGUGCAGUGUUUUUUGUUGCCCACGCUGAUGAGCUUUCCAAGAAUUUUAAAUUUUUGGUGGCGCAUAAUGAACAGCGUGAAAGCUUUUUUCAGUUCGAGUGUAUUAAAAUCUUUGCUUGGGUUGUGAAAAAACAUAAUCGCGCAAUGGGUGUGGCACUUUCUUUUUAUCCCUCCCCCAAUACCACUCUUUCUAAC
rnacentral:misc_RNA from 1 species